rnacentral:lncRNA from 1 species
UGAAACAAAAAUUAAAGUAAGUUUCAAACAAAACGUUGAGUGUCACUGAUAUAUUUCUGAACAGAUUUAAAAAUAGCAAUAUUCAUAUCAUAUGAAAAUAAUCUGUUUCCAAAAAGUAGUAAUUCAAUAUUUAUGUCAACAUUAUCAACAAUGGAGUAAAUGGAAUCAAGAAGGAUCUGUCUUACAUCAUUAUACUUAGGGCAAAUAAAAAAGAAAUGUUGGUUAUCCUCAACAGGUUGGUUACAGUUUGUGCAAAAAGUGUUCUCGGAUAAGAACUGAUUAAACAAAUGAGAUUUAAGGUUGCUAGCAUUAUUUCUGAGUUGACAAUGACUUAUAUUUAGUUUCCUUAUCCCAUAGUUGAAAGGUUUAAAUAUAUCAUCAGUCCUAUAAAACUUAUCUAGUCCACUUCUAAAUAUACCCAAACUUGGUGAUUUUUGUAAACUCAAAGGAAGACUAUUCCAAAGUC